GGCCGAUGAUGUGAGAAAAUAUUUGCUACUCUUGAUGGGAUUCAUCCCAUCUGAUGAUUCAUUUCCACCAAGAUCUCUGAGGCC
rnacentral:snoRNA from 1 species